UACGGAGGGUGCGAGCGUUGUCCGGAAUUACUGGGCGUAAAGCGCACGUAGGCGGCUUUGUAAGUUAGAGGUGAAAGCCUGGAGCUCAACUCCAGAAUUGCCUUUAAGACUGCAUCGCUUGAAUCCAGGAGAGGUGAGUGGAAUUCCGAGUGUAGAGGUGAAAUUCGUAGAUAUUCGGAAGAACACCAGUGGCGAAGGCGGCUCACUGGACUGGUAUUGACGCUGAGGUGCGAAAGCGUGGGGAGCAAACAGG
rnacentral:rRNA from 1 species